AACAGUGUCUUCAAAAAUAGCCCCAGGGACAAUGCAUUAAGGACAUGAGGUAGGGGUUGGAGAGAUCAGAAAAUAGCCCCAGGGACAAUGCAUUAAGGACAUGAGGUAGGGGUUGGAGAGAUCAGAAAAUAGCCCCAGGGACAAUGCAUUAAGGACAUGAGGUAGGGGUUGGAGAGAUCAGAAAAUAGCCCCAGGGACAAUGCAUUAAGGACAUGAGGUAGGGGUUGGAGAGAUCAGAAAAUAGCCCCAGGGACAAUGCAUUAAGGACAUGAGGUAGGGGUUGGAGAGAUCAGAAAAUAGCCCCAGGGACAAUGCAUUAAGGACAUGAGGUAGGGGUUGGAGAGAUCAGAAAAUAGCCCCAGGGACAAUGCAUUAAGGACAUGAGGUAGGGGUUGGAGAGAUCAGAAAAUAGCCCCAGGGACAAUGCAUUAAGGACAUGAGGUAGGGGUUGGAGAGAUCAGAAAAUAGCCCCAGGGACAAUGCAUUAAGGACAUGAGGUAGGGGUUGGAGAGAUCAGAAAAUAGCCCCAGGGACAAUGCAUUAAGGACAUGAGGUAGGGGUUGGAGAGAUCAGAAAAUAGCCCCAGGGACAAUGCAUUAAGGACAUGAGGUAGGGGUUGGAGAGAUCAGAAAAUAGCCCCAGGGACAAUGCAUUAAGGACAUGAGGUAGGGGUUGGAGAGAUCAGAAAAUAGCCCCAGGGACAAUGCAUUAAGGACAUGAGGUAGGGGUUGGAGAGAUCAGAAAAUAGCCCCAGGGACAAUGCAUUAAGGACAUGAGGUAGGGGUUGGAGAGAUCAGAAAAUAGCCCCCGGAUGCUGCUGCGUAGCUACCUUCACAUCUCUUGUAAAGGAGAUACGUUUUACAACCCACAAAUUGUAACUAAGCGCGCAAGCUUAUUGAAGCAUAUGUGAACCGUUCACAGUAUGUUUUUAUUUGUGGGAUGUAACUAAUCUCCUUUAAAAGAUUGGCUGGGUGUCUGUAAGGUCUGUUUUAAUAGGCUGUGAGGUUGGUUGAGGUACCUGGCUGUGAUUGGUUAAAAUGUCUAUAAGGCCUGUG